rnacentral:rRNA from 1 species
GAAGGCCUUCGGGUUGUAAACCGCUUUUGGCAGGAACGAAACGGUGCGCGUUAAUACCGCGUACUAAUGACGGUACCUGCAGAAUAAGCACCGGCUAACUACGUGCCAGCAGCCGCGGUAAUACGUAGGGUGCAAGCGUUAAUCGGAAUUACUGGGCGUAAAGCGUACGCAGGCGGCUUGGUAAGACAGGCGUGAAAUCCCCGGGCUUAACCUGGGAACUGCGCUUGUGACUGCCAGGCUAGAGUCUGUCAGAGGGGGGUGGAAUUCCACGUGUAGCAGUGAAAUGCGUAGAGAUGUGGAGGAACACCGAUGGCGAAGGCAGCCCCCUGGGAUAAGACUGACGCUCAUGUACGAAAGCGUGGGGAGCAAACAGGAUUAGAUACCCUGGUAGUCCACGCCCUAAACGAUGUCGACUAGUUGUCGGGGAUUAACUUCCUCGGUAACGCAGCUACGCGUGAAGUCGACCG